rnacentral:rRNA from 1 species
GAUGAACGCUGGCGGCGUGCCUAAUACAUGCAAGUCGAGCGAACAGAUGAGAAGCUUGCUUCUCUGAUGUUAGCGGCGGACGGGUGAGUAACACGUGGGUAACCUACCUAUAAGACUGGGAUAAAUCCGGGAAACCGGGGCUAAUACCGGAUAAUAUUUUGAACCGCAUGGUUCAAUAGUGAAAGACGGUUUCGGCUGUCACUUAGAGAUGGACCCGCCCCGUAUUAGCUAGUUGGUAAGGUAACGGCUUACCAAGGCGACGAUACGUAGCCGACCUGAGAGGGUGAUCGGCCACACUGGAACUGAGACACGGUCCAGACUCCUACGGGAGGCAGCAGUAGGGAAUCUUCCGCAAUGGGCGAAAGCCUGACGGAGCAACGCCGCGUGAAUGAUGAAGGUCUUCGGAUCGUAAAACUCUGUUGUUAGGGAAGAACAAAUUUGUUAGUAACUGAACAAGUCUUGACGGUACCUAACCAGAAAGCCACGGCUAUCUACGUGCCAGCCGCCGCAGUAA